UAGGGAAUCUUCCACAAUGGGCGCAAGCCUGAUGGAGCAACACCGCGUGAGUGAAGAAGGGUUUCGGCUCGUAAAGCUCUGUUGUUAAAGAAGAACACGUAUGAGAGUAACUGUUUACCCAGUGACGGUAUUUAACCAGAAAGCCACGGCUAACUACGUGCCAG
rnacentral:rRNA from 1 species